GGGAUGCAGCUCAGUGGUAGAAUGCUUGCCUAGCAUGUGCGAGGCCCUGGGUUCAAUCCCCAGUACCCCA
rnacentral:tRNA from 1 species